rnacentral:rRNA from 1 species
UCUGGCUCAGAUGAACGCUGGCGGCAGGCCUAACACAUGCAAGUCGAACGGUAACAGGAAGAAGCUUGCUUCUUGCUGACGAGUGGCGGACGGGUGAGUAAUGUCUGGGAAACUGCCUGAUGGAGGGGGGAUAACUACUGGAAACGGUAGCUAAUACCGCAUAACGUCGCAAGACCAAAGAGGGGGACCUUCGGGCCUCUUGCCAUCGGAUGUGCCCAGAUGGGAUUAGCUUGUUGGUGGGGUAACGGCUCACCAAGGCGACGAUCCCUAGCUGGUCUGAGAGGAUGACCAGCCACACUGGAACUGAGACACGGUCCAGACUCCUACGGGAGGCAGCAGUGGGGAAUAUUGCACAAUGGGCGCAAGCCUGAUGCAGCCAUGCCGCGUGUAUGAAGAAGGCCUUCGGGUUGUAAAGUACUUUCAGCGGGGAGGAAGGGAGUAAAGUUAAUACCUUUGCUCAUUGACGUUACCCGCAGAAGAAGCACCGGCUAACUCCGUGCCAGCAGCAGC